AGAGUUUGAUCCUGGCUCAGGACGAACGCUGGCGGCAUGCCUCAUACAUGCAAGUCGAACGGUUUUUAGUUGAAGGCUUGCCUUUAACUAGAGAUAGUGGCGGACGGGUGAGUAACGCGUGGGCAACCUGCCCUAAAGUAGGGGAUAACAUUUCGAAAGGGAUGCUAAUACCUUAUAAGGUCCUCUUUUCGCAUGAUUAGAGGAAGAAAGGCGAAAGCCGCUUUAGGAUGGGCCCGCGUCCCAUUAGCUAGUUGGUAGGGUAACAGCCUACCAAGGCGACGAUGGGUAGCCGGCCUGAGAGGGCGAUCGGCCACACUGGGACUGAGACACGGCCCAGACUCCUACGGGAGGCAGCAGUCGGGAAUAUUGGUCAAUGGGGGAAACCCUGAACCAGCAAUGCCGCGUGAGUGACGAAGGUUUUCGGAUCGUAAAGCUCUGUCCUUGGGGAAGAUAAUGACGGUACCCAAGAAGAAAGCCACGGCUAACUACGUGCCAGCAGCCGCGGUAAUAC
rnacentral:rRNA from 1 species